ensembl:lncRNA
UUCCAAUAUUCCAAAGAGAUCGAGGAGAUGUAACAGGGUCUUGGACCUGUGACCUCCAUCUGAGUAACUUAGGUUAAUAUGUCCCUGGGAUUUCUCGCGGUCUUCCAUCAAUUUAACAGUUUGUUCCUAUUGCUCAAUAAAAUGUACUGUUGGAAAAGCGAGUGUAAGCAUUUUAGUUGUAGGAGAAAAAAAAGAGAGAGAAGGAGAAUGAGAGAGAAAGAGAGAGAGAGCUGACUUCAAUUGUCUGUUUUUUCUAUUUAAUGGAGACACCAGGGACUAGAAAUAUCCCGGGGCUGGAUGCAGGCUAGAUUCAAGGGACUGGUUAACACAGAUAGCAAAGUCUUUGCAAGGAGCCAGGACCCAGUUUCACUUUCAACUAUGGCAUUCUCAAUACAGUCCUAUCCCUAACAUGUGGGCAAAGAAAUUCCCAGUGGGAACUUGGAAUGAGGUUGGAAACUCUGAGGAGCGAGGCAAGAGUGUGACCUGGCUCCCUGGACCGCUGGCCUGGAGCCAGAUCCUCUGCUCCUUUUCAGAGAUGGAAUUGAGGCAGAGAAGAACUCACAGAGAGAAAAGAGACUCUUUUUGUUUUGUUUGUUUGGUUUGUUGUUGUGUCGGUGGUGGUGGCUCUUGGAGAGAAGCGUUGCCGCGUAUCAUCCGGGCCAUCAUCGAAUAAUACUGUGGACUCUCCAUUCUGGGCUGUACAGCAGGGCUAACCUGUGUCUACCGCACAUCUCACUCGUUUUUUCCUGUAGUCAAGUCCCUUUCCCUGCAGGGUGUUUGGAGCCACUUUCUACAUCAAUAUCAUCAGACUUCCUUGUUAGUUUGGUGGCAUGUUAUUCCAGGACAUAUCAGAGGAGACCCUUCUUGGGAAGUAGGUGCAGGAAGCAGUAAUAAUACCUUAAAAAAACCUCUUUCUUCUUGUUUCAAGUUAAUGUUUUUUAAAUUUGAUAUCUAUAUUUUCCCACUGUGACUGGUUUUGGGUUGUGGGAUUUUAAGGAAAUUCUCAAAAUACAAAGUUAAUUAUUUACUGAGUGCCAAUGAGAGAGGGAUACAGAAGGAGAAAUGUCGUGGUCGUUGCCCAAAAGGAGCUUUUGUGUAGUUAGGAAAUAAAGAAGGCACACACAGGACCAUUAGUGAACAAAGCUCUACGACAUGAGCUAAUCGUUUGGAAUCAACGAGUGCCUCAGUCAAACCACGAAACCAACCAGUGUGGAUCGGAACUCCACCGAAAACAGGAACAUGGCUGGGUCCCAAAAGGGUAGAUCCCAUGUGUUUCAGGUGAUUUCGACUCCACUCUUGGCUCCAUGGGCAUGACAUGACUCUAACGCUGAACCAUCGGUGAAUGCUGCUCCUCUGGCCACAGCUGGUUCAGGGAUGAACACAGGACCCAGUUCAGGCUAAUCAGAGCUAAUAAGAUUCAAUACAAGGACUUUCUGAAUUAUCAGAGAUGAGGCCUCUUUUUUUAAUGGCAGCCGUUGUGCCUUCAUAAGGGACAAGCACGCCUGAGAAUGGAGCCAACUUAGGCAGGGAAGAGCUGAGAGAUGGAGAGAAACUGAAUCUGGUGACAUCAUUUGAGUCGCUGAAUUCAGCUGUGUCUGAAACCAUAUUCUCUGUACAUUUUAGUUAUGUAAACCAAAACUUUCUCCUUUCUUUUCCUUUUUUAAGGAAGAUUAGCCCUGAGCUAACACCCACUACGAAUCCUCCUCUUUUUGCUGAGGAAGACUGGCCCUGAGCUAACAUCUGUGCCCAUCUUCUUCUACUUUAUAUGUGGGACACCUGCCAAAGCGUGGCUUGAUAAGCAGUGCAUAGGUCUGCACCCAGGAUGCAAACUGGUAAACCCCGGGCCACCAAAGCAGAAUGCGUGAACUUAACGGCUGCACCACCAGGCUGGCCCCAAUACUUUCUCUCUUUUACUUAAAACAUUUGGCUUGGGUUUCUGUCACUUGCAAUGAAAAGAGACCCAACUUGCGCAACAGGACCGGGAGAGGCAGAAGGACAAAAGCAAUCCAGGUCCAGAAGCUUCACUGUGACUGCCGGCAAUGACAUGGCAUUUUGAGGAGGCUCUCUUUGCUUACGUUGACUCCUGUGGAUCACGUGCACGUGAAUUAAGCUCUUGAAAGGUUUUACGGAGAUGGCGAAGCAGCUGAGAAGCAGAGGCUGGCUUGAUGUGCGGCUGUGGGGUGAGAUGAGCGAUACUCCUUGGUCGGCCUGGCUCAUCUUACUCGUCAUUUCCUGCAGGAGAACAGCUUGAGUGGCUCUCUGCAAUAUGUCACCUAGAAGCAGGAAGCCAUUCCGAACCCACGUGUUCCCAGCACUGAGUCAUCUCUAAAUGUCCUGAGCUUUCCAAUGACCUUGCUGACAGAGCAAGUCAAAGUCAGGAAGCAGAGAAAGAAUGAAGAGUCUGACCAGGAUGAGAAUCAUCAUGUAUACUGGCAUUGGGGAACCUUGGCUGUGACCUGGAUCCCUUUAGACAAGGUCUAGAUCCAGCCCCUAAAAGAGCUGUAGGGUCAUUUGGAAGACAGGAGAAUUCUAAUCAAGUAAGAACUCAUCACUCACUCAUCAAUAAAUUGGAAAGGCCUGGAAACAAAAGCACCACAGGAGCGAUGAGUUCACUUGGUGCGCAGGUCAUGCUGUCUGCAUUCCUUCUUUGGAGAAAUGCCUGAUUACAGUCCUGGGAAUGCAGGGCACAGGUUCACGUAUGUGCCUAUGGGACAUCUUAAACCAGGAGAAAAACCUUUGUAUUUCUGGGGACAAAAACUUCACAAACCUGGCACUCACAUAGUAUGCUGAUCCAUGAUUUCAGGAUUUUCUACUCUGCUGACCACUGCUACCUUUCCAAAUGCCAUCGUAGAGAUGUCUUCUACACGGUUUGACAAACUGAGCUGAUAAAGAAAGUGCCUCCCAAUCACAGAAUAUCUGGGAAGACUUGAAGCAAAAGCACGUUCUAAGUGAAUAGUUCAAAAAAUACAAAGAAGUCCCUAGGGAACUAAAUAAGAGAAAAAUCCCUUCCAGUGACAGAUAAGCAAGGCUGAACCCACAUGGCCCAUGAAUAGAUCCCCACCGGAUGGACCUAACAGCUGGGGUUUGACACGAGAGCUGAAAGGAGAUUUAGAUUUGUAGGUACCAUGUGUGGAGGGAGCUAGAAUCGCCCAUAUAAAGCCAGGAGUCUGAAAUGGCCAUGUUGUUCCUAAAACUGGCUCUAGAAAAACAGGCUGAGGGACUUAGAACAAGAGGGACUGCUGUGGGCACUAGACACAAGGUGUCAUCUCAGAGAAGGGGGAUUAUCAGAAGGGGCAAAUGCAAGAUAACUGGCACAAAAAGCAAUAUACAUAGUAUGUGAUCAUAUAGAAAAGGCUAUUGGGUAGCUUGGAACAAAGUCUUGAGAGCGCAUUAAAUACAGAUUCAAAAUUAAUCUGAACAGAAGUAAAGAUGAUCUGUUUCAGCAAACUGUAAAAGACGCAAAAAGUGGUUCAGUGGUGACAAUCCCUGAUGUUGGAUAUGCUCAUUAGAAAUUUGAAUAAAGUGAUUUGAGAUGUGAGUGAAGGAAAAAG